AGGUGCGAUCAUACCACCACUAAUGCACCAUAUCCCAUCAAAACUCCACAGUUAAGCGUGGUUGGGCGAGAGUAGUUGUAACAGCCCGCUCUUCGGAGCUGCUAGCGGAAUACACUUA
rnacentral:rRNA from 1 species